rnacentral:piRNA from 1 species
UACCACUGCCACCCCUGCCAUCCUCUUA